UCCAUUUUCUAAUUAAUGAGAAAGUCAUAUAUUAUUUACCUUUCCUCUUUCUCUCUCUUCGAUCAAACCGACUCAACAAAUUAUGGUAGAAAUUUGUGAUUUUUCUCUUCUAAUUCAACUGUUAACAUGGUAUUAGAGCACAGAUCCACCUAUUUCAUAAUGGGAUAGUGUGUUUUUCUCUCUUAAAUCUGAAAUUUCACUUCAAUUUCAUCAGUGAAGAGUUAGAGUUUUCUCACCGGAAUUUUCGUUUGUUUGCCGGAGUUUCAUUGAUACUUCUCUUCGUUGGUGAUUGAUACGUAGAAUUGUAUAUUUUGAAGGAUUUACGGUAACACCUAUUACAUUCUCAUAUCAUUUUUUGUGAGCUUUUGGGGAUUCAUGUUCCAGCGUGUUUGCUUUUCAAGUUUACAUACGAUGUGGCCAAAUUUUGUAGUUUUGAGAUUUUUUUGCUAAAUUUUGUGAUUAAUUUCGAGAUUUUGUGCCCUAAUUUUGCGAUUUAGGGUCUAGUUCGUUGUUUUUGCCUUGUACUAGAAUAUAGAGCAGUUGUAUUGUUGCUUAGUUGUUGUUGCUCUAGUGUACUAUUGUUAGUGAGAUUUCGAUGGCACCAGAAGAUCCCACAAACUAUUCUGCUCCAACUAACGCGAAUUCAGGGAUUUCUUCCUCUUCUACGACCAUGGUUGAUACUUCUCAUCCACGAUAUGUUCAUCCUUCUAAUAACCCUGGGAUAUUGUUAGUACCAGUUAUCUUUCAGGAACAAGAUAUCCAUCCUGGAAGAGAAAUGUUUUGAUUGCCUUAUCAGCUAAGAAUAAAGUUGGUUUAGUGAAUGGUAGGAUUUCAAACCUAGUUCAGACUCACCUGUCUAUGAUUACAGGCUUAGGUGCAAUGAUAUGAUGUUUUCUUGAUUCAAUAAUUCCUUAUCUAAGGGUAUUGCUUAGAAUGUGCUUCAUUGUGAGACUGCUAGGGACAUUUGGAAGGAUUUGGAAGAGAGGUAGGGACAAUCUAGUGCUAGUAGGUAUUAUCAAAUAAAAAGGGAGAUUGCUAGUGUUACUCAGGGUGCUUCAGACAUAGCAAGCUACUAUACUAGACUUAAGAGAAUAUGGGAUGAGCUGAAAACUACUUGUUUUGGUCCUACUUGCACAUGUGGUGCGAAAUUAAUAUAGUGAAGGCCAGAAACUCAUUCAUUUCUUAACUGGGUUAAAUGAAAAAUAUUCUAGUGUGAGAAGAAACGUUCAUAUGAUGAGUCCUGUUCCAUCCCUUAGGAAAGUUUACUCCAUGCUUCUCCAUGAUGAAAAAACAAAGGGAGCUGCAGUCCCCUACACCACCAUUUUUCUCAGAUUCCACAUCCUUCUAUGCUAAGACCUCUUCAGGUUCCUCAUCAUAUGCUUCUAGUUCUGGGAAGGCUUCCACUUCUAGCACAUCUCAACCUCUCUCCCAUGCUCCUUCAACCUCAAGUAGCAGAAAUUUCACUCAAAGGAUCAAGACUUCAAAAACUCCAACCCGGUGUGCAAAUACUAUAAAAGGUCUGUUCAUACCAUAGAAAAAUGCUAUAGACUCCAUGGAUUCCCUGCUAAUUUCAAGUUCACAAAGGGGACGAAAUCAGCAGCUUGUGUUCAAGUAGAUUCCAACCUUGUCUCUAGUUCUACUGAUGGUAUGAUUUCCAAUAUGGAUCUAGCUCUUCAUGGUUUUAGUCAAGAACAAUAUCAGCACAUCAUGUCCCUCUUCAAACAGUCACAACUCUACAAACUCAGAUGACUUCUCCACUGGUUCUUCUGCUAUUGCCAUGGGUGUUUUUGUAGGUAUUGGUUGCAGUUUUCCCACUUAUUCCAUUGAUAUAUGUUGUGCUUCAUAGUUGAAAGUUAAUUCUUGGAUUCUAGAUUCAGGAGCUACAAAUCAUAUGACACCUCACAAAAACCUUUUACACAAUGUUAUACCCCUGCCCUUUCCAUAUCUAGUGACCUUGCCUAAUGGCUACAAGAUCAAGGUCAAUUGCACUGGUUCUUUACUUUUGUGCAGUGACUUUGUAUUAGCCAAUGUCCUCUUUAUCCCUUCAUUUUAAUUCAAUUUAAUUUAUGUUCCUUAACUUAUUGAUAAGUUCAACUUCUCUACUUUUUUUAACAAGGCUUCUUGCUCCAUACAGGGCUUUUGUCUGAGGAAGCCAUUGGAAGUUGGUAGAGAAGCCAAUGGACUUUAUGUCAUUCAUUCUGCUUUUACUGAUACUGUUUCUAAUUCAUGUUUAAUACCAUAUAUGCUUCUCCACAUGUUCCUAAAUGUGUUUACAUUGCUUGUACCACUACUUGUAACCCUCAUUCUUCUAUUAAUAAAAGCAGAUUUUUUUUGUAAUCAAAGAGUAGGGCAUAUGCCUUUUCGUAGAAUGAAAUCUAUUGGUUUUUUGUUAGAUAAACUUUCUGCUAAGAUAUCCUUUAAUUGUCAGGUGUGUCCUUUAGCUAGGCAACAAAGAUUUCCCUUUUCUGAUAGUACAAUUAGAACUACACGACCCUUUCAAUUAAUUCAUAUAGACUUGUGGGGUCCCUAUUACCCCAGAACUUACAAUGGCUUUAGGUAUUUCUUGACCAUUGUUAAUGACUUCUCCAGGGCCACCUAGAUUUACCUUCCAUCCUGAAAGGGCAAUGCCUUUUCUAUCAUUAAAUCCUUGGAAUUUUUUUUAAUGGAAAUCAUUGCGGUGCCUUUACCGUUUCUUUAGUUUAUGAAAAAGAGGAAGAGUUUUAAAGUUUUUUUUUCAUCUGGUGAGAGCAUUAUUAGUGAUGUUUUCUUCUAGGGCUGUUCACAGUUUUGGUUAAAACCAAAACCAAACCGAAAAUUUAACCAAACCGAAUAAAAUAACCGACAUUUGGUUUAGUUUGGUUUGGUUUGGUUUUAAAUUUAAAAAACUGAUAAUAUUUGGUUUGGUUAUGGUUAUAGUAAAAAAUAACCGAAUAAAUAACCGAACCAAACCGAUAAUUAUAUACAUAAAAUUUAUAAUUAUUUAUAUGUAUAAUAUUAACUUGUCAUAAAUAAUUAAAGAUAUUUUAUACCUUUUAAUUAUUAAUUUAAUUUUUGUCUACUUAUUUUUAAGGCCCAUGUCUUAAAAGAAUAUGUCCAACAAUCCAAGUCCAACUCUAAUAAGUCGUAAGCAUAAGGGUUGUUUGUAUUUUGAAACCUCUGUUUGACUUGUUCUUUUGAAUCUAAACUGCGUUGCAAGUUUGGUCCACCUGAUUUGCCAACAGCGUGUCUUUCCCUCAAUAUGCAGCAAAGUUCACCCUUGUGGGCCAUGAGGAAAAAAAAGCUUCAUAAGAAAUUUGAAGAAUGUAGAGAGAGAAUAUUUGAAUUGUCACGGCUAGUCAUAAACCGAAAAACCGAACCAAACCGAACCAAACCGACAAUAACCAAACCGGUGGUUAUUAUUUUACUUGGUUUGGUUAUGGUUUUAGACAUUUAAAAACCGACUAAAUUGGUUUGGUUAUGGUUUUAACCAAUAACCGACCCAAACCGAACCAUGAACACCCCUAUUUUCUUCUUUUGUUGAAAAAGAGACUCUUUGUGUCUAUCAAAACAAUUUGGGAAAUAUUUUUUAACAGAAGAUGCUAAACUCGUUUUUCCGUUCUUGGUCACAAAGAACCAUUUGUUUUUCUAAUUGUAGUGGAAUGUUGAGGGACAUGAGGCCAUGAGGGUCCAUAUUAAUUGCUCUCUGCCGUGCAUUAUUAUUUGGAGUGUGAAUUUCAAUAUAUGACAUUGAAAAGUGAUAAAUCCACAUACCUGCUUGUGUUUUUUUCUCUUUGCCCUUGAUCAAUUAUUUUUUGGUCUAAGAAAUAUAUACUGUUUGUGUGAAUUGGGUCUUUUUGUGCAUGGCUAAAACUUCUCUUACCUUAGUAUAUGAGAUUAAGUGAAAAACUCUGGAACUGGGUAAAUAGUUGGAUGUGACCAACUAUCAUUCAAGUUUUAACCUUGAUUUGAACAUAAUAAGGAGUAUGCAUUUUGUUGUGUACUAAAUUUUUGCUAUUCAAACACAACAAUGCGUAAAAGUACCGUGAAUGGUCAAUAAAUUGCCUGCAACUAUCACUCUAGAAAAGAGUUACCUUUUUAUCUGUUAUAGAAUAUGAUUAUAAUUAUCUUGAAUUUGUGUGAUUUAAGAUAAGUGUUCCUCAGAUGAUUGAUUAUGUUAGAUUUACAACAUAUUAGAAUUCAGAUGAUGAUUGAGAACUUAUUGAACUUUUGAUUCUGAAUCUAGUAUGAAAUAAAUUUUGACAUGGUUAAUUAUUUUAGAAAUUUCUAUGUAUAUGAAUUUAGACAUGUGAAAAGUACACAGUCUCUCAUGAUAGUUUAUACUUGUCUUAAAGUAUGUCAAUUGUUGCGAAAAAUAUUGUUGCUAAGCUUACCAAAGGUGAUAAGCUAGACAGAGACAAUUACAAAAUAUGGAGUAUGAAAAUGCAAUAUGUCCUGGAAGAGCAAGAGGCUCUUGAAGCUCUUAAUGUGUCUAUGGAAAUUCCUGAAAAUGGCGAUACUCCCCAACAUGUGAAAGAUCUCGAGGCUUAUCAUGCUUGGAAAAAAAAUCUCUUGCUCGCAUAACGUGGUUGAGCAGCAUGGAUAACGAUAUUACGAGAGAAUUUCGAAAGUAUGACAAUGCUAAGGACAUGUGGUCCACUUUAAAAGAAAAGUUUGGUCAUACUUCAUUUAUCAAGUUAAGAGCGCUUACUAUUAAGUUUGACACCUAUAAGAAGCGCCCUGGUCAUACUAUGCGUAAGCAUCUGCACCAUAUGUCAAAUAUGGUGAAUGAACUUAAAGAUGUCGGUCAUGUGUUGACCGAAGAGCAACAAGUACAAGCUGUGAUUCGCUCCCUACCCCAAAGCUAGGAAAAUAUGAAAAUGCACUUAACCCAUAAUGUUAGUAUCAAAACUAUGGAAAAUGCUAAGCAUCAUUUGGAACUCGAGGAAGAGCGCCUCGGUAUGCAAAAAGCUACUACGAGUUCAGGUCCAGAACGUGGACAAGGCCAAAAAUGCAAGUAUGGUGGGUUUUUCAAAAAGAAGGGGAAGGGACAAGUCUCGAAAAAGCCUAAAUAUAAUCAACAAGGAAAAAAAGGUGCUUCUGUUCGAAACAAAAAAAUGAAUAUGGCACAGCUCAAAUGCUACAACUGUGAGAACAUGGGACAUUUUGCUCGUGACUGUCCCGAGCCUAAAAAGACUCGGGAGCCACCGACCAUAUAGCGAAGGAAAGAGAUGCAUUUGUAGAAUUUCGGCGAAUUCCACAAGGAGCAAAAUGGAUUUAUGUAGGAAAAAACUCCAAAGUGGAGGUCAAAGGAGUUGGUACCUGCAAACUUGAGAUGUGUGGUGGCUGAACUUUAUUUCUACAUGAUGUACUAUUUGCCCCUUCUAUCGGUCGGAAUCUAGUCUCAGUCACAAUGUUGAUUAAUUUAGGAUUUCAUUUAAUCUUUCAUGAACAUGGAUUGGAUUUGUAUUUGGCCAAGACAAAAUAUGGCACUGGUUAUCCUUGUAAUGGUUUUAUUCUAUUGGAUAUUGUACCUAAUUUUAAUAAUAAUGAUAUUUGUUUUUCCUUA